CCAGACUCCUACGGGAGGCAGCAGUGGGGAAUAUUGGGCAAUGGACGCAAGUCUGACCCAGCAACGCCGCGUGAAGGAAGAAGGCUUUCGGGUUGUAAACUUCUUUUAAGGGGGAAGAGGAGAAGACGGUACCCCUUGAAUAAGCCACGGCUAACUACGUGCCAGCAGCCGCGGUAAUACGUAGGGAGCAAGCGUUAUCCGGAUUUAUUGGGUGUAAAGGGUGCGUAGACGGGAAGGCAAGUUGGUUGUGAAAUCCCUCGGCUUAACUGAGGAACUGCAACCAAAACUAUCUUUCUUGAGUGCUGGAGAGGAAAGUGGAAUUCCUAGUGUAGCGGUGAAAUGCGUAGAUAUUAGGAAGAACACCAGUGGCGAAGGCGGCUUUCUGGACUGAAACUGACGCUGAGGCACGAAAGCGUGGGGAGCGAACAGGAUUAGAUACCCCCGUAC
rnacentral:rRNA from 1 species